GAGGCGUUGUCCGGAUUUACUGGGCUAAAGGGUGAGUAGGCGGUUGUAUAUGUCAGAUGUAAAAGGCUAUGGGCUUAACUAUAGUAAGCAUUUGAAACUGUACAACUUGAGUGCAGGAGAGGUAAGUGGAAUUCCUAGUGUAGCGGUGAAAUGCGUAGAUAUUAGGAGGAACACCAGUAGCGAAGGCGGCUUUCUGGACUGUAACUGACACUGAGGCACGAAAGCGUGGGGAGC
rnacentral:rRNA from 1 species